GAACCGGUUAAAAUCUCUGUUGCAUUGGACCCAUAUGAAUGGAAUGCUAGGCCAGAAAUGAAAGUUGAGCUUAAAAAAAGGAUGAAAAUAUAUACAACAAAAUAGAACCUCUCGCAAUAGCGUUCAUCACUGACCCAACUUCGAGUACACAGCUAUUUUCUAAUUGAAACCUGAGAGAAAGGCGAAUUAUUCUAAUCUUAAAUGUGCAAAAAGAUGUGAGCUGUUGAAUGUAGUAAAUAGUCCAAUUUGUCGGCUGAG
rnacentral:misc_RNA from 1 species